GUUUGAUCCUGGCUCAGAUUGAACGCUGGCGGCAUGCCUUACACAUGCAAGUCGAACGGUAACGGGCCUUCGGGUGCCGACGAGUGGCGAACGGGUGAGUAAUGUAUCGGAACGUACCUUUCAGUGGGGGAUAACGUAGCGAAAGUUACGCUAAUACCGCAUAUUCUGUGCGCAGGAAAGCAGGGGAUCGCAAGACCUUGCGCUGAUUGAGCGGCCGAUAUCAGAUUAGCUAGUUGGUGAGGUAAAGGCUCACCAAGGCGACGAUCUGUAGCGGGUCUGAGAGGAUGAUCCGCCACACUGGAACUGAGACACGGUCCAGACUCCUACGGGAGGCAGCAGUGGGGAAUUUUGGACAAUGGGGGGCAACCCUGAUCCAGCCAUGCCGCGUGAGUGAAGAAGGCCUCGGUGUAAG
rnacentral:rRNA from 1 species